UACACUAAUACAAUAGGUUGUAUACUGUAAUACACCAAUACAGUAGGUUAUAUACUGUAAUACACUAAUACAGUAGGUUAUAUACUGUAAUACAUUAGGUUGUAUACUGGAAUACAUUAGGUUGUAUACUGUAAUACACUAAUACAAGUGGAUGUAUACUGGAAUACAUAAAUAUGUUUUGAUAUUAUAGUGAAGCAGAUCCUUUGGUUGGAUGGUCAAAACCAUUGCUGUGGCGAGCAGAUGCAACAUAUGGAGCUCUUGUUGCAAAGGUAAUAGGACAACAUAUCCAAACGUUUUUUGAAAAACAAAAAAUGCCCUUGUGUUCCAUGUGCCAUUAUAAACUCCUAAGUAAUGACAACGCCUUUCUCAGUUUUUUCCCUCAUCAAUUCGAACAACGGACCUUGUUGGCUAGGUUCCAGAUGAAUAACACUGUACCCCCACAUGUUCAAUUCUUCAAAAAACCUGUGUAUGCUGUGACUGGCAUACUGGGGAAGUUAGGGGAAACAUUGUUGAAUUACAAACUAUCAUUUCAAGAGUACUUUCACUGGAUGUUUUCUGCCCAGAUGGACCACACUUGGCAUAAUCUGCGAUAUCCUUAGGAGCUUCCCCUGGAUGUUUUCUGCCUGGGUGAACUGCCCUUUUUUGUGUUACUGUGUUCCUUACUGGGCGAAGAACAUAUCUGUUCCAGAAGCCACAGUGUUUACGAGAUCAAGUUGUAAGAAUGAUAAGAAAUAAUCCAAGCCACCUUGCUGCUGAUACAUGUAGUGAUACAUGUUCUGGAUGUAGUGUGGCUCCCGCACUUUUGUACCAUCUUUAUCUUGGUACACUUCUGCUAUAUACAGAUGCUUUCUGUCAUGACUGAUGCCUGCACCAGGUGUUCCACUAAAGCAUGAUCUUGGCAUAAUUCCAACCAUGCAUGAACCAGAUAAAGCAAGUAUUGCUGACAGUCUGCAGUUUAUUCUUUUACUGUACAACAGUGCAGACACUACAAACAUGACAGGAAUGUCUUCUAUCAACAUUUACAUGCAAUAUCGCUUGCCAGAAACAGGUGGGAACAAUGAUGUUUGAAGUACAAGGUCUAUGUAGUAACAGUAAAUUAUAAAAAAAACAUGUGGCAACAAUGAUGUUUCAAGUACAAGGUAUAUGUAGUAACAGUAAAUUAUAAAAAAAACAGUUGGGAAGAAUGGGGUUUCAAGUACAAGGUAUAUGUAGUAACAGUAAUAUAUAAAAAACAGUUGGGAACAAUGAUGUUUCAAGUACAAGGUCUAUUUAGUAACAGUAAAUUGUAAAUAAACCGUGAAUUAUAAAAAAACACGUUCGAACAAUGAUGUUUCAAGUACAAGGUAAAUGUUGUAACAGUAAAAUGAAAAAUCAAUCUGUUCUCU